UCGGUGACCAGAGGGCGGCUGCCUCCCGCGCCCCUCGGGUGCGCGCGCGCGCCUGUUCCUCCCCUCAGGAGCCCCCGGGGAGGUCACGAGCCGGCGCGAGGCUCUGCCGAGGCUGUGUUUGCCGGUUACAGCCAAGCCGGAGUAACCUCACUGAUUUUUGUUUUCAAACAUUCCGUCUAAGCCUUCGGUGCACAAGGAACUCGAAUAUCUAUACUACCGUCAGGAUUUAUAACUCCCCCCUCACUUCCCGCCCCGCUCCCCUCAGAAGUUCCCUCUAAGCCUUCAGUGUACAAGGAACCUGAGUAUCUAUACUACCGUUAGUGUUAUAACUUCUCGCACUUCCCGCCGCCCCCCCAGGUGCGUGCGCCAUUUCUCCCCGCAGUCCCUCAGGCGCUUUCAGGCGCAAAGAAAAACUAAAGAGGGUCGUUGAAAGCCUCAGUUCCCAAGGUGUAUUUCUGUGGCGAUUUGAACAAAACCAGCCCUGUAGUGCUUCCGCUUCUUCCCCAUUCAUUUUUCCCAACUCGCGGCCGAGGGGAAGGUGUUUCUAGACCGCAGCAAAAUGCAGAUGACUUGACUGUGAAAAUUUUUGCUGCUUCCCAAAGCAAAAUUUUAUGAGCUCCAGUUUUAUCAGUGCUCCAUGCUCUUCCUUCAGCACAUUAUCUAUCUUAUGUGGAGCUGCAGGUAAAUCAUACUCUAUUGACUUGAGGGAAAAAAAAGAGACAAGUUGUUAUAAUAUGAAAUUACAUGUUCUAUGUUCUCCUAUUUUUGUCAAAACACUUUUCUCUUGUUUAGUGAUGAAUACUGUCAAUAUACUGCAGGAAAAGUAAGUCAUUGAUCAAAUAUUGAAAAUACAUCCUGCUUAGAAACCUGUCAAAACAGAGAAAAUUAUUCUAUACCUGAGGAUCUGAUAUUUUUCCGCACAUCUUCAUCUUUAUGUAGAUUAUUGCCGUUCAUAACCCACGGAAAUAAAAUCCUGAAACCACUGAAAUAAAGUUAUAUAUGGGGUUGUUAAUAAGGUACUGGCCUUUAUUUUACUCUCAGUGAAAUUCCAGGUGUGUGCUUUAACUGAUGUAAAAGCCAAAAAGGUAAAUCCCAUAACUGAGGACACAGGAAGAAAUGAUAAUUCUGAUGCUGUGCAUUAUAGGCUUGAAUAUUUAGUUGAGAUCAUCUUAAUUCUUGGCAGCUUUGGUGAAAUACCCAUGAGAAAGGUAGUUAUAUUUAAAAUAUUAUCACAGGGUAUGUAACCUGAUAUCCUUUUGGCCAGUGUUUCCUAUGAGAAAGGGCUAAAUGCAAGCCUUUGGGUUCAAAGCUACGUGCUUUGUGAGCAGAAAAGCCAGACAGCUCUGGGUCUACUUCAUGGAAAAGUUAAAACUCCUGUUCCUGAUUUAUUGUGGAAGCAUUUUCCAUCACUGUCCCUGCAGAAUGCUAAAAAAAAAUUAUGAAAAUUAAUUGCUUCCUCUUCUUCACGGUGCUACAACAUUUAGUUUUUGCUCAAAGCUUUGUCUGACUGCUGAUUUUUAUUAACCUUGCUGGUGUCUUUCCAUUUCUUUGACUCUUCUGACCUGGUGAGCAAAGAGUUUUUACAAGUGCUUCUAUACUCAAAGGAAUAGUUUGAGUAGAGGGCCACAGGUAGAGUUUUGAACUCUUACCCGGCUAGAUGUGAAAUGCAUCCUCUUAAAUAAUUAGAGUAAGGUGUUUAUAAGAUAUUUGGUAUCUUUUUCUGUGUUUAGCUAACUACUGGUAUCAGUAAUUCUUAUUUAUCAUCAUUAUUUCACCAGAACCGUGGCUUUGCAGUGCUCCCAUUAAUGGAAUUGUGAGUGCAUCAGUGGCAGGGAUUUCUUGGCAUGGAAAAAAAUAGAAAAGAUUUCUUGACCACUUGUAGCAGCAUCUCUGUAACCACAUGAGUUAAGAGACCCUGCCCCAUCUGCUAAAGGAUGUUUAUGUUCGUGUGUUUUCAUAAAACUAAAAUGACACUGGCAGUGAUUUUGUUGAUAUGAAGUGUUUGGAUUUCAGAAUAGGUUCCCUUCAAAAUGCCUCUCUGCUGAAAUGAAGCUGUUUUGAGGGGAAGGAUAACUUAGUGACCUUCUAAAUAUUAGAAACCCAGAGAUAAUGAUAAAGACAGCCCUCAUAUUCAGGAGAGCUUUCUAAUGAAGUCCAGCAGUGCUGUUCAACAUGACUCUAAAUGCUUUGGAAUAGCAGGUUGCCACUGAGGUGUCUCACUGACUUUUGGCAAAACUGGGUCUGUACUGUACAGAGCUCAGGAGGGUAAGGGACUUAAACCUGUCUCAGUGCUGUCUGACUGUGUGCUUAUUGCUCUGCAUAACCUUUGGAUGCCAAAGGGAGAGAGGAAAAUCCUGGAACAGACAGCUGCAGGUGGCUGAGGAGCAGUCCACGGCCUGCUUUUGGGAAUAAAUGAGAACAGAAGAGGCAACUUGGGAGGGCUUAGGCUGGAAUUUCCCAUGGUCGUGACACCACGCCGUCCUGGAACGAUCAGCUUUCACUGGGAUAGGCACUGACUUGGGAUGUGGAUCAAGCCUGUUAAGAAGAUUUUUCUAGAGCCUUUAGGAUACCCCUUGGGUGCUAUAAAACCAAGCUCACUUCCCAUUCCUACCUAUUAUGUGUUCAAUUUUGUUCAAAUAAAAACCUCUUGGAAAUUUUAGAAGGACAAAAGAAAGGAGAGAGAGAAGCAGUGUGUGUGCCAGAAAGGGAAAUUAACCCCAGGGCCUUGGGCAAGGAUUUACCACCUUAGCAUUAGAUAUGACAGCGGUGAGAUUCAGGUGUCAGGGAGAGGGGUGGCAAACAGGGAGCCAUCCAGCAGCAGGAGCAGGUUUCACUGAAGAGCCUCCAUUUUAAUGCAACCUGUGUUCUGAUUUAAUAAACAAGCUCGUGUUCCAGCCAUUUCAGUGGAUGUUGUGCCAGGAGGGCACAUGUGAUGGAUCAAGGCUUGAACUCCAUUCGGUACUGAACAGGUGGGGCAGCAAUUUGCUGAGUUGAAGGGUGAAAAGAGCAAGUGUAGAGUUUUGACACGAUAUACUAUAUGACCCCUUUCUCAUGAGUGAAACCACAAAAGGAAUCUCUUUAGUUGGAAAAGGUACUUUGCUAUGCCAGCUACAUAUUUAACAUCUUGUGCUUUUUAAGUAAUAGGUUGAAGUCAAAGUUCAGCUGAAGUUUCAGUGGACUUUUUUUUAUGUGUUUGUGUGUUCUCUCCUGUAGGAAUGAUGACUGUGGGUAAAAACAGACCAUUUUAGAAAAACACCUUUUGUAACCCAUGCCUGUGUUUGAAGUAUGUCUGCUGAGUAUUGGGUUUGAGAGGUGAAUACUACAGGGAAUUUUUUUCAGCCUGAUUUAUCGAACUUUAUGGCUUCACAGGAGGAAAUAUUUAGAAGUCUCAUUUCAGUACUGUUUUAGGAUGCUGCUUAUUUGAUGAAACUAUUAUGCCAUAAAAACUGGGUGAUUUGUGGAGAGAUGAUGGGCUCUGGCAGUGUUUAUCCACCCAAAUCACUUCCUUUCUUGGAAUCAAGUGUUUUUAUGUAGAGCGUGAAACACAAAAAGAGAGCAGGAAAGAGAGGAGAUAAAGCACAGUAUUAAAUAGAAGCUCUAUUGAGAGAAAAUAAAGUGAAUGCUAAUGGGGACCUGAGAGAUUCCAAGUCUUCCAAUGUAUUUUUUCCUUGUUUGUUCCAUAUAAAUCCCCACCAGUCAUUCUUCAGAAGGAAGGACAUACAACAAGUGAUGUCAUAUUGGCUGCCAGAAUUCCCUCAUUUCCCACACUUGUGUGUUUCAACAAAGGAGGAGGUUGUUGGAUGAGAGGAAUAUACUCUUGGAGUCUGGAGAAUGUAUUUUAAGUCUGGUGGACAAACCAUCAUGUUUCUUGAUCAACUGAUACAAACUCUUUUCCCAAGCUGAGUUGCAUCUCACAGCAAAUCCACAUCAUUUUGUUUAGCAAUAGAAAUGUGUAGCUCAUUAGGCAAAUUUGGAUACGUUCAAUUGCUGAAGGAAGGCAAGUCAGGAGUGAUGGGAGAGGUUUAAUGAAAUUGAGUUUGUGACACAAAUAUUCUGUAGUGUCUAGGAGGUUUUUGUGCAGGGGUGUGCAGCUCUGUGCUGCUUAUACUGAAAUUGCCUGAUGGAGAUCCAUUUUCAAAAGUAAUCUAAGUUUCAAGAGGUUGUCAGGUUUCUGAUCCAGGUUUUUGCUUGAUUUGUAUGACUACUACAAGCAGCCAGUUAGCUAUUUAAGUUAUGCUCUCUUCUCUGCAAAUUGAUAUUUUAAAUAUCUUAUAAUGAGGUCCUUUCCAAUUUCGGGUCUAAACUAUCUGUCCUUACUGUAACUAUGGACAAAUCUGUAUUUUUCUUUAUUUUCUCCCACAGAUCAAUAUUUAGAAGUUAGUUAAUAAAGCCAGAUCACUCUGGUGCUACACUGAGUGUCAGCAUGAGCAGUUUGUGGCAAAUUGUUCCUUCUUGAUGAAGUAUUUAUAGGCAGUGGGACUGAGAAGGGCGAUUGUUGCCAAAGCUUUGGCACCCCUACAGAAUUCUCCUAAGAAUAAAGAUGAUUCAGAUAAAGGCCAGGAGGGAUUUGCUGGCUGCUGGAAUCAGACAGUUGUGUGAUGCACAGUUCUCGUUUGAUAUCAGCUGGUGUUCCAGUGGCUUGCUGCUCUGCAAACUCCAAACACCAACCAAACAGAUGAAUUUAAACAGUGGGAUGGUUUUAUAUUUACAUAAAGGGAAAAACACAGGAAACUCAGAGAGCUUGGGGAAGGUCCCCACUGGGUGAGAAGGGUGGCAUUUGAUUUAUUAUUAUUUUAAUUGCCUAACAGUGCUAAGGGAGAGUCUAAAGUCCCUGGAGAAACCUUCAAAGGGGGAAAGAUAAAUAUUGAAAAAUGUUAUUUAUAGCCUUUAGUGUUUCACCCAUGUAAAUACAAAAAUGAAAUCCAAGGGCUGAUCACAUCUUCUGAAGUUUCUCCUUCGCAUAAGCAAUGCUGAAGAGGCAAACACAGCUGCCCAAAAAUAAUGGCAAUGUGAGGCCUUUGGCUGUGUGUCCUCCACCCAACUGCCUCUCCCGGCCCUCGUGUUCCCAGGCUGCUGUUGGCAGAACGUGGGUGUAGGAUGGGCUCCUGUCAGACUCUCCCGUGAUCCAUAAUGGGCAUUGAGACGUGCCAGCAUGGAGUGCUCCAUUGGAUUUGAUUUGGGAAUAAUGGCUGCAGUCAGAGACAGAGGAAGGAUUUUCUGCUUUCAGAUUCUUGUCAUUUCCCCUCUCUAUGGCCUCCCAGCCUCCUGGUGUGGAACUCUGACUGCAUGGUUAUCACCCUCUGAUCAAGUUUACUAAAAAUUAUUCUGAUCAGUCCAAAAGUGUUUAAUUUUCUUUCCCUAGAUUAUUUUGAGAAACAGCUGUGUUGCUGCACUGAGACUGAAAGGGAUGUUAUGAUCUGGGUGGGGGUAGCUGUGUGCAGUACAAGUUAGGGGGAAUAACUUCUUAUCUGACUCAGUCAUAGCCAGAGAAGAUAAUCCAAUACACUUUUUAGGCUUGGACACCAUUAUCUAGUGCAUGAAAGAGACUGUCCCCCCCAAAUAUUUAUUAAUAUAUGCUUCGGAAAAAAUUCAGGAUGAAGAUCAUGAAAAAGGAAAACACUUUUUAUUGACAGGAUUGAUUUUAAACAUGCCAUAGGAGGUGCUUUGUUUCCCAUUCCAGCUCUGGUUUGACACUUAAAAUAGGCUCAUUUUGAAUGAUUCCUCGGUGGCCUGUGGUUGUUUUGAAGUCAGUGGCUCCUCUGUCCAGUUUGUCAGGGCUCUGGGGUGUUUGCUGCCUGCCUGGCCAGUCAUGCAGACUGCAGCUUCUCUAGAAUGUGUUGUACGUGAACAUGGUAAAUAACCACAUCAGAUUUGUGUCUCAGUUUUGACAUAAAUGAGAAGGAAAGAGCAAUCUGAAGUUUAGGAAGCAUUUUUAGCAUGCAAACAUAAUGAAUGAUGUGUUGUGGGUUAGAGCUCCUCACUUGCCAUUCUUUCUUGUUGAUAUGAUGACCGACCCCAGAAAAAACCCCGAAAACUAGAAGAAAGUGCUCUCUCUCUCUCUCUCUCUCUCUCUCUCUCCGUUCCUGUGCCACCAAUAACCCUCAGAACAGCCCUUCUCUGCUCUCCACAGAGAUGGACUUUCUGGGGAGUUGGGCUUUGCAUACCAAGGUAAAGGUGCUCUUCCCUUUUUCUUGUGUAUCUGAAGUAUGAGUUUCUUGGGAGAUGAUUUGAUCUGGUACCUCCUUCAGGUAUAGAAGUGCAACACUUCCAUGACUCUAAACAGAACUAGAUCUCUCUGUGGGUAUUCUACAACUUGCUGCUCAGUCUCCUAAAAUGUCCAUCAUCUCACUGGGACACCAGUGGGCAGAUUUGGAAGAUCCUGAAUCAAAGCCAUGCAGAUAAAGUCUCAAUUUCUCAUCAGGCUGAGUUUUGUACCUGUUUAUAUACACAAGAUUUUGUGUUUACAGUUUGUUUGCAUUAAGAUAUACCUAUUUAUUUGAGCUAUGUGAUAGGACAUUAUUAGAAAAUAUAUUGGGGAACCACCCACAAAUGCUUACAGUGAGUAAAUUCUUAUCCUGUGUUACAGGAUUCCUUCCUAGUUUGGUUGGAGACAUGCCCCCAAAUAUAUAAUUCAGUAUUUAUUUUUGAAGGGGUUAUUCUUGUGACUCCUGAUAGAGUUGCUUUCAUGGAGUUACUCUUAGAGAAUUAUUUUUAAAUUAUUGGGGAACAGUGAGACACAUCUUCAAAUAUAAGUCAUCUGGUGUAUGGAAUGCAGAUGCUGAGAGUUUUGGUGGGUUCUGUCCAUAUUGUUCAGUGCAUUUUGAGUGCUCACUGAGACGAAGAACAGCAGAAUUUAAUCUGCUGGUUCUGAGAACAAGUUUGCUAUUGAUGAAAUAAGUGAUGCCUGACUUUUCGUAUGCCAGAUAAUGCUGAUUUCUGUUUGUUUUCUGCUGUUUUCCUUUUUUAUUACCUUUGCCCCUCUUGGCCUUUUCAGUAAUAUUAAAUUUUUCCAAUAGAGCACUUAACUUGUGUGCUAUCAAAAAGCUCCCUCUGUGAAAUUCCAAUGAACAGUACUACUGUGUGGGGUUUGGGGUUUUUUUAGUGCUUUGGGUUUUCUUUCUCCUUUUCUCAGACUUCUAGAUAUCAUUGCUGCCUUCUCACCUGCCAACAUGGACUGAUAAUUAAAGCAAACCACAGCAUGAGCAUGUUUAUCCUUAAUUUGUGCUCUUUCAGGAGUGCCCAUGAAGGGAACAUUUCUUUGGUGACAUUCGUGCACUUUGGGAAUGUUGAGCUGCAGGUAACAACUUCAAAAUAACACUGUCAGCUACUUGGGGGUAUUUCUUACCCAAAA